AUUGAACGCUGGCGGCGUGCAUAACACAUUCAAGUCGAACGGCAGCGGGGGCUUCGGCCCGCCGGCGAGUGGCGAACGGGUGAGUAAUGCAUCGGAACGUGCCCAGUCGUGGGGGAUAACACAUCGAAAGAUGUGCUAAUACCGCAUACGUCCUGAGGGAGAAAGCGGGGGAUCUUCGGACCUCGCGCGAUUGGAGCGGCCGAUGUCGGAUUAGCUAGUUGGUGGGGUAAAAGCCCACCAAGGCGACGAUCCGUAGCGGGUCUGAGAGGAUGAUCCGCCACACUGGGACUGAGACACGGCCCAGACUCCUACGGGAGGCAGCAGUGGGGAAUUUUGGACAAUGGGGGCAACCCUGAUCCAGCCAUGCCGCGUGAGUGAAGAAGGCC
rnacentral:rRNA from 1 species